rnacentral:rRNA from 1 species
AUGAACGCUGGCGGCGUGCCUAAUACAUGCAAGUCGAGCGAACGGACGAGAAGCUUGCUUCUCUGAUGUUAGCGGCGGACGGGUGAGUAACACGUGGAUAACCUACCUAUAAGACUGGGAUAACUUCGGGAAACCGGAGCUAAUACCGGAUGAUAUUUUGAACCGCAUGGUUCAAAAGUGAAAGACGGUCUUGCUGUCACUUAUAGAUGGAUCCGCGCUGCAUUAGCUAGUUGGUAAGGUAACGGCUUACCAAGGCAACGAUGCAUAGCCGACCUGAGAGGGUGAUCGGCCACACUGGAACUGAGACACGGUCCAGACUCCUACGGGAGGCAGCAGUAGGGAAUCUUCCGCAAUGGGCGAAAGCCUGACGGAGCAACGCCGCGUGAGUGAUGAAGGUCUUCGGAUCGUAAAACUCCGUUAUUAGGGAAGAACAUAUGUGUAAGUAACUGUGCACAUCUUGACGGUACCUAAUCAGAAAGCCACGGCUAACUACGUG